ensembl:lncRNA
GAACUGAGGGCUUUGUCCCACCAGGCCCAGAGCGGCGCCCUGAGAAGCAGCAGAUGUGACAGCAGGAAUGGGGGCUUCGGCGUUUCCGGAACAGGGCGCGCUGACCGCCAGGUGCGGGGCCUUGAGCAAAGGCAUUUACCACCGGAAGCAUAAGGAGUCAGGUGCGUAAGACAGAGACGGUAAGAGUGCACACUUGGGAAUUGCUGCGCCUCAAGUGGGUGGGGAGGGCGUCAUUGUGAUGUUGGCCCCAGUGACCUAGGGAGUCGCCCACAGUGACCCUUACCAACGCCUGUGCCCCAGGAGCAGCCUCGGCCUCAUUCGCAGGACAUGCAGGGUUUGCACAGGCCCCGCGAGACCCUCCGGCCGCCUCUCCGCGGGACGGCGGGCCUCCCUGGCCGCUCACCCUAACCCUACCCAAAACCUCCCUGGGGGCCGCUGGCUUGGGAACCCUUCUCCACCAUCUCCUCGUUUGCCACAAACACAAGUUCCCCUCGUGGGACCAACACAACCCGGUGCGGAUUCCGGCUCACACGGGGGGACGUUGGUUUGGUCGCUGUCCGGGCGCUGGUGCAGCUCCAGGCCCGCUCUCUGCCUCCCUGGGCGGCCCACCCACCUGCUGCUCCCUCGCUGCCCAAGCCCCAGGACACCCUGCGGCUCUCGCGUGAGGCCACCCCCCCCCCCCCUCCACCCCCUGCCGCCCAGCAGCCUGUUCUUGUCGUGCACCUGCUGCCGCCUGCGCUCCCAGAGCUGCUGAGGUUGCCAGGCCUGCACUUCUGCGUUCCCGUGCUGUCGCCUGUGCCUCGUACUCCAACAUCCAUGGGUCAGGGAGGAAACCCCCUCGAUUCCCUCUGCUCUGGCCUGAACAGUUGCUGCUGUCGGUGCAGGUCAUGGGCCAGCGUCAAGGCCCUGACACCCGUCCUUUCAGCCCCCCCCCCAAUGUUGGCAAUGCGGACUGCAUGCCCCGCGUCUCCUAGGACUGCCUAAAGCUGUCUCCUAAGGACUGCCCCCGCAGAAUCAGGCCGCCUACUCAGCGACAGCAGCUCCCCCAGGGGGCUCAGCCUUGCGGCCCUGGCUUCGUGCCUGUCCCUGGGAGCUCGGAUCCACCUCCGUGCACAUCACAAGACACUAAGGAAGUGCCUUCCCCGAGCCUGGCCACUGGCCUCUGGACGCAGGACCCACGGGAGGCCUUCGUGCUGGACGCUGCAGGGGCGGAUUUACUGGGCCGGUGACUUAGCAGGGAACCAUCCGUCUGUCCGCCCGUCAAUCUGUCCAGUCGCGUCAGUGGCACCUGAACACGGGGAGCAGCAGACGAGAAAGAGCAAGCGUGGCCACCAGCCCUUUGCAGAGAGGCCAGGACCAGCCACCAGCAACCAGGGGGUAGAAGUUAGCGAUGCAGGAGCCGCACUGCACAGCCGAUGCCCGUCACCUGCUGCCUCCCUCCGGCCGCCACCAGUGACCGUCCCCACCAGGUCGCCUCCUCCUGCUCGGCCACUCGCUGUGCUCCACAGUCCACAACGGCUGCUGCCCCCACGCCCUGCUGCCGGCCGUCCAGCUCACUGCAGUUAUUCCAUGAACACAAAUGAAAACUGGUCUAACCGACACCCUGUGGGGACGAGCGAGCGCAGGCCUCUCGGACAGACGGACGGACGGACGUUAGUAAGCGGAGCUGCCCAAUCGGUGCGUGAGCAGUGGCUUUCACAUUGGCUCCUCCGUCGUUCUGGGAAGCAUCUUCCCCAAGUGACGUGCCUGUGGGGCGUCCACCUCCUCGGCGCCACGUGGCCUUAG